AGCCUUCUGUAUCCGUGCUGAGAUUUCGUCACACACCAGACCACAAGGGCU
rnacentral:pre_miRNA from 1 species